rnacentral:misc_RNA from 1 species
CGGUGUUCCACGGCAUUACAGUUGUUUCGCAUUCGACCUGCAUCUCCUACUGCAGAGCUCUUGUUUUUGACCGGCUGCCUGCUGCCCGCGCUCCUCCCAUGGCCUCCCCGGUCGUCUUCACCAGGACCUUUUCAUAUAUCUUUUCGGCUCUCCGUGUUGCUGUUAAUCGUCUUUCUUUGUUUUCGUACUGUGUGCUGCAUGUCGUGUGGUCUCGCCUUCUCAUGUCCUCCUACCAAGCCGUCGCCGCUCCGCCCUGUUGAAUGCCCUCGGCGCUUUUCUCGCUCUGUGCUGUCCAUCGUUCUUCUCCGGACGUUUGAUUGUCUGAAGACAAGCGCAGGCGAGCGCGAGAAGCAUCAAGGCGGCUGUUCGCCUCGUGGCGUGGGGAAGGUGGCCAGAAGGAGAGGGGCCCACGAGCGAGCCGCGACCGCGUGGGGACUGAUAGAAAUGCAACGAUGCCUACUCACGAAAAGUUGAGAAGGGCGUAGUCGCAGGUUCCGCGUGGUCGCCGGUGAAGCGCAACAGCACGCACGUGCCCACAUGAACACAAUGUAGAGAGGAAAGAGGACGCAGAGACUCCGAGGGACGUGGAUUUGGUGGCGGGUGAUGGAGGCGCAGCGGUUGCUUGAUUGCUGUUCCCGACGGAGAGAAUGCGUGUCUGCUUUUAUCUUGUGUGUGUGUGUGCGCGGAUGUGUGGUCGACUCACAAGCUCGGUGCCUUGUUGCAGUUUUGUUUUACCUGUCGAUCUGAUCGCGUGUGUGUGCGUGAUGGGUUCGACCUCAUUCAUGCAGAAAGGGGCACCAGGCACACAGGCAGACAGACCCGGAGAGGGGCAUGUGAAUCGGGAUGGCAGUCGGAGAGGAAGACGGCCAUAGAUGGAGAAGCCGAAAGGAAACUUGAGACGCACGUGUGUAUCCGUGACCGCUCGCGCGCGCAGAGAAGCAAAGCACUCCAUUUCAGCGUAUGCUGUCGUGUGGCGGUCGUGCCGGGCGCAGUCCACCAAUGGUCUCGAUCGCUGUCAUUUUGGUUCUCCGCACAUGCGCCGCUUUCUGCACUUCCACUCACCUCCCUCCCUCGUGCACCUCUCUCUCUCUCUGUGUCGUACAUAAUUAAUGAUCUCAAGUCGACAGGAGGGGGCCCACGAGGGCGUUGGUGUGGUUCAGGGGGUGGGCGGCGGAAUGUGAGGCGUGUGGGCUUCGUUGUGUAUCGACAGC